GUUGUUGGUUUUUGUUUUUGUUUUUUUAAUUCUUUAAAAAUGACAGAGUUUGUUUUGGAGCCCAAGGGUGGGCAAGAAUUUGAGUGGCCUGUGGCCUGCUCCUCUGAGGGUUCUGGGAGAUGCAGACGGAGGUGGAAGAGUGGAUGGUGGCAGAUGGGAAAAGGAAGCAAGCCGGCCAAGCCUGUGGGGACGGGAAGAGAAGAGGAGGUGGACAGGACUUUGGCGCUGGCCUGACACAUGGCCCCUGGGGCUUCACAGCGAAGAAGGCCGGCUGCAUUCCCCUCCACUGAGGAAUUUUUGAACAGCAACUGUAUUCGAGUUUACAUGAGCUCUUCACAGAAGGAAAUGAGAGAACAUCUGAGACGUGAGUCAUGAGAUGUGGGUCCGACGCGAGUCUUGCAGUCCCGUCUAAAGAGCUGCUAGAGAGGCCCGGCGGAUGUUGGUGGCUCUCUCACCUGUGUGAUCAAUACUAAGUGGGGACAGGUGCCCCUUUUAGAGCCAUUAACUUUAGUUUCAGAGAGUGUGCUUACGUUCCCAUGGCAAGUAAACAAUGGAGCUACGUUUUGUAAUCAUAUCUUUCUGUCUCUAAAUCCUUGAUCUUCAAAAUUUAUCAUACUACCUCCCAGAAGUAAACUAAGAACAAACGUGGCUGGAAGGCUUGAUUGUGAGAGUAUGGAAUUUCCUUCUUUAAAAUUUGGAAAAAUAGUUCUCAUUCUGAAUCCAAAGUGGCUGGUAAAGAUGAUCUCAUAAGGAUUCCUUGCAGGCCAAACUCUACGGUGGUGACGAUGACUUCUGGUUAUUGCGACAGACACAAAUGAAGAAGAAGAGCAAAGCAAUGGCC